rnacentral:lncRNA from 1 species
AUCCUCAGUGGGUGUCUCUAUGUUCUUGGGGGUGGGUGGAGGUGAAGGAUGGUUUCUGUACCAGCCAGGGAGAGAGAGUGAUUUAAAAAUCUCAUCCAGUUUGUUUCCGGAAUGUGCAAAUUGAAUUUGUCACCAGAUCCAUGGAGUAAAUCCUGAGUGGAAAACUGGAGCCCAGGAACGAGGUCAGAAGCUUGAUUAGGAUUGAAGUGGAGCCAGAGGUACCUUGCUUUAACCUUGCUGGUCAAGAUGACAGAUCAUUUACAUUAACAGAUUCUGCGGGCACUCUCCCGGUCGGAGCUGGAAGUGCUUUAGCCCCAGGUGACCUGGGCAACCAAGAGUGACGAUCCAGGAGAAAGAAGCUCCAACGGCCAAGACCCCAUCUGGAAGGAGCGGGGUUUCAAGCACACACCUUAAAGCCACCUGGGUCCCUGUUGUGGCACUGAGAGAGACCGAGCCACCCUGAAUCUUGAAAACAUGUCUCCACAUUUUCCCAGUGGCUUUAAUGUUUUGUUUGUUCAUUUCUUCAUUUAGGCAUCAAACAGUUGGUGUCUCCUUAUUGUGUGCUGAGCAUUGUGGCAGGUGCCGAGGAUGCUAGGGAAGGACAGCUUGGCUCUGCUCUCAAGACACACUGAGUGGAAGAGAGGACAUGGACACAGACUCCCUUAACCAUGACAUGAUGUGAAAGCCACAAUAGGAUGGGUGUCCGAGCAAAGCCCUGCAGGAGUGGAGGAGACCCUUAGCGAGAAACGGGGUUGGGGGGGUAGGUUUCCAAGGAGCUGGGGGUAGAAAGAUGAACAGUAUUUGUCUCAGGGUCUUGGUGGGAGGAGUGGCAUUUCUGAUGGAGGGCAGAGCGUAAGCAGAGUUUAGAAGAGUGACUGGUGGGAGCUCCCAUUGUGGCUCAUUGGGUUAAGAAUCUGACAUAGUGUCUGCGAGGAUGUAGGUUUGAUCCCUGGCCUCACUCUGUGGAUUAAGGUUCUGGAGUUACUGCAAGCUGCAGUGUAGUUCACAGAUGUGGCUCGGAUCCGGUGUUGCCAUGGCUGUGGUGUGGGCUGGCAGCUGCAGCUCUGAAUCGACCCCUGGCCCAGGAACUUCCUUAUGCUGCAGGUAUGGCCGUAAAAAAAAAAAAAAAAAAAAAAAAAAAAAAAAAAAAAAAAGAAAAAAGAAGAGUUACUGGUGGACAGGAGAGCCAAGCUGAUGCUACCAUAGUCUGUGAUCUGCUGUUAUGUAAGGUCACAGGUAGGCAAGGGUGAUGAAAGAGCCAGUAAAUCUCUAGCUCCCCAGUCACCUAGAUCUUGUUCUUCAAGUCCAAGAGUCCAAGGUUCAGAAUAAGAAGCGCUGCUGGGUUCUGCCCAUCUGACAAGCACUGGCUGCAGAAGGUCUUGUGAAUAUCAUGUGACCUCCGGAAGGAGACCUCGGGGAUUGGUGGCCAGUCGUGGCAGUGUCCCUUUGGACAAGAAGGAGUUUGUUUUGAUGCAGUUGGGAGAGGCUGAAAGCUCCCCCCACUUGAGGCCAGAGCAUUCCUGCUGACUGGAACAAAGCACUCUGUUGAUGCAUCAUCGAGGUACCCCCAGGGAGAGAGCAAGGUUCCAAUGGAUGUUUAUUGAACACUCUCCCUGGGUCACCACUGUCCAAAGUGCUCCAUCACAUCCUUACAACAAACCAAAAGACUAGGUUAUCAUUUUGCCAAGGAAGAAACUGGCCCAGACAGGUGGGAUGACUUGUCCAAGCUCGCAUAACUAGUAAGUAGCAGAGCAUCAUUCUGACCAACCCAGAUCCUGUGCUCUUAACCAGCUUCCUACAUCCACCCAAGAGAGCAAGACCACCAGGACAUUCUAUGCUAGAUGCUUCCUUAUGUGUGUCAUCUCAGGAUGUUAUCAGCAUGACAAUUCUGUGAGAUGGGCAUCAUUUGACUAAUUGGGAAACUGAGGCUCAGAAAGAUAAGUAACUUAUUAUCAACUAGCCCAGUAACUGAUGGAGCAUUUAAUCUUAGAUGUGCCAGGACAUCAAAGCUGAGAUCAUUUCCCCUCUUCCAUGCUGAAUUUCCAAGAAAGAAUCCCAGUAGAUGCUGCUUCUUUUCUGGCCAUUCAAGGAGGUAGGCAUUUCAAUGAACAACCACUUCCCUUGUGAAUGACCAUCUAGCAAACCCCUCUUUUUACUCCCUAUCUUUACUGCUAGGAUGGUGUAUAUUCUGGACACUGAUGAUAUUUGUCCCCCAAACUUUUUCCUAGCAGAGUGGAGACAAACUCCAUGCAGUUACUGUGGGUGGGGAGUGAGUCAUGUAUAUAGGGGGACCUUAUUUUAGUGGAACUCAAGAGCCAAAGUUGAACUAGGGUUCACCUAUAGAGAAGGAAUAUUCAUAAACAACUGUUAAGUAGGCAACUCUUAUAGCGUGUUUAGGGGAAGAUUAGCAAAUAUUUUUAGCAAAUGGCUAGACAGUAUUUCAGUCUUUGCAGGACAUAUGCAUGUCUCAUAAAUAAUGUUACCUGUCUCUGCCAUAACUAUUCCAUUCUUCAUGGGAGUGCAGAAACAGCAAUGGAUACUACAUAACUGAAUUAGCAUGGCGAUGUUCCAGUAAACUCUUUUAUGGAC